rnacentral:rRNA from 1 species
UGCCAGCAGCCGCGGUAAUACGUAGGUGGCAAGCGUUGUCCGGAAUCACUGGGCGUAAAGCGCGCGCAGGCGGCGAUCUACGUCUGGGGUGAAAGCCCGGAGCUCAACUCCGGGACUGCCUUGGAUACGGGAUCGCUUGAGGAUUGGAGAGGCAAGGGGAAUUCCACGUGUAGCGGUGAAAUGCGUAGAUAUGUGGAGGAACACCUGUGGCGAAGGCGCCUUGCUGGCCAAUUUCUGACGCUGAGGCGCGAAAGCGUGGGGAGCAAACAGGAUUAGAUACCCUGGUAGUCCACGCCGUAAACGAUGAGUGCUAGGUGUUGGGGGGUACCACCCUCAGUGCCGAAGCUAACGCAUUAAGCACUCCGCCUGGGGAGUACGGUCGCAAGACUGAAACUCAAAGGAAUUGACGGGGGCCCGCACAAGU